GAUGAAGAACGUAGCAAAAUGCGAUAAGUAAUGUGAAUUGCAGAAUUCAGUGAAUCAUCGAAUCUUUUAACGCACAUUGCGCCCGCUGGUAUUCCGGCGGGCAUGCCUGUUCGAGCGUCAUUUCAACCCUCAAGCCCCCGGGUUUGGUGUUGGGGAUCGGCUCUGCCCUUCUGGGCGGUGCCGCCCCCGAAAUACAUUGGCGGUCUCGCUGCAGCCUCCAUUGCGUAGUAGCUAACACCUCGCAACUGGAACGCGGCGCGGCCAUGCCGUAAAACCCCAACUUCUGAAUGUUGACCUCGGAUCAGGUAGGAAUACCCGCUGAACUUAAGCAUAUCAAUAAGCGGAGGA
rnacentral:misc_RNA from 1 species